rnacentral:rRNA from 1 species
ACGACUUCUAGCUAUGAUGAAGUCGUGGCGCACGGCUCAGUAACACGUGGCUAACCUACCCUUGAGACAGGGACAACCCCGGGAAACUGGGGCUAAUCCCAGAUAGAUGAGAACUCCUGGAAUGGGUUUUCGUCUAAAGGGCAUCGGGGCCAUGCUUCUCGAUGUCGCUCAAGGAUGGGGCCGCGGCCGAUCAGGCUGUUGGUGAGGUAAUGGCUCACCAAACCUAUAACCGGUACGGGCCGUGGGAGCGGGAGCCCGGAGAUGGGAACUGAGACAAGGUCCCAGGCCCUACGGGGCGCAGCAGUUGCGAAAACUCCGCAAUGCACGAAAGUGUGACGGGGCUACCCCGAGUGCCGUCCGCUGAGGAUGGCUUUUUCCUGGUUUAAGGAGCCGGGGGAAUAAGGAGAGGGCAAGUCUGGUGUCAGCCGCCGCGGUAAUACCAGCUCUCCGAGUGGUGGGGAUGCUUAUUGGGCUUAAAGCGUCCGUAGCUGGCUCUUCAAGUCUCUCGUUAAAUCCAACGAUUCAAUCGUUGGACUGCGGGAGAUACUGUUGGGCUUGGGGGCGGGAGAAGCCGACGGUAUUUUCGGUGUAGGGGUAAAAUCCUAUAAUCCCGAAAGGACCACCAGUGGCGUAGGCGGUCGGCUAGCACGCGCUCGACGGUGAGGGACGAAAGCUGGGGGAGCAAACCGGAUUAGAUACCCGGAUAGUCCCAGCUGUAAACGAUGCGGGCUGGGUGGUUGGAGUGGCCACGAGCCACUUCAGUGCCGCAGGGAAACCGUUAAGCCCGCCGCCUGGGGGAGUACGGCCGCAAGGCUGAAACUUAAAGGAAUUGGCGGGGGAGCACUACAAGGGGUGAAGCUUGCGGUUUAAUU